CAACUACUCCCUCUGUCCCAAAUUUCUUGUCUUAGAUUUGUCUAGAUACGGAUGUAUCUAAUACUAAAAUGUGACUUGAUACAUCCGUAUCUAGACAAAUCUAAGACAAGAAUUUUGGGACGGAGGGAAUACUUU
rfam:Triticum aestivum genome assembly, contig: Triticum_aestivum_CS42_TGACv1_scaffold_001620_1AL